rfam:Salmo salar isolate Sally breed double haploid chromosome ssa21, whole genome shotgun sequence.
AUUUACGGCCAUACCAACUUGACUACGCCUGAUCUCGGUCGAUGUUGGAAACUAAACAUCGUCGGGCUUUGUUAGUACUUGGAUGGAAGACUGCCUGAGAAUUCCAGGUGCUGUAAGCA